rnacentral:rRNA from 1 species
UACCUUAGUAACGGCGAGUGAAGCGGUAACAGCUCAAAUUUGAAAUCUGGGUCUUUUAGGCUCCGAGUUGUAAUUUGUAGAAGAUGCUUUGGGUGCGGCCCCGGUCUAAGUUCCUUGGAACAGGACGUCAUAGAGGGUGAGAAUCCCGUAUGUGAUCGGUGGCUUGCGCCCGUGUAAAGCUCUUUCGACGAGUCGGGUUGUUUGGGAAUGCAGCUCUAAAUGGGUGGUAAAUUUCAUCUAAAGCUAAAUAUUGGCCAGAGACCGAUAGCGCACAAGUAGAGUGAUCGAAAGAUGAAAAGCACUUUGGAAAGAGAGUUAAACAGUACGUGAAAUUGUUGAAAGGGAAGCGCUUGCAACCAGACUUGCGCGGGGUUGAUCAUCCGGGGUUCUCCCCGGUGCACUCGGCCUCGCUCAGGCCAGCAUCGGUUUUGGUGGUUGGAUAAAGGCCUUGGGAAUGUGACUUCUUUCGGGGAGUGUUAUAGCCCUCGGUGCAAUGCAGCCUACCGGGACCGAGGACCGCGCUUCGGCUAGGAUGCUGGCGUAAUGGUUGUAAGCGACCCGUCUUGAAACACGGACCAAGGAGUCUAACAUCUAUGCGAGUGUUUGGGUGUCAAACCCAUACGCGUAAUGAAAGUGAACGGAGGUGAGAACCCUUAAGGGUGCAUCAUCGACCGAUCCUGAUGUCUUCGGAUGGAUUUGAGUAAGAGCAUAGCUGUUGGGACCCGAAAGAUGGUGAACUAUGCCUGAAUAGGGUGAAGCCAGAGGAAACUCUGGUGGAGGCUCGCAGCGGUUCUGACGUGCAAAUCGAUCGUCAAAUUUGGGCAUAGGGGCGAAAGACUAA